UACGGAGGGUGCAAGCGUUAUCCGGAUUCACUGGGUUUAAAGGGUGCGUAGGCGGAUAGGUAAGUCAGAGGUGAAAUCCUGGAGCUUAACUCCAGAACUGCCUUUGAUACUAUUUAUCUUGAAUAUGGUGGAGGUAAGCGGAAUAUGUCAUGUAGCGGUGAAAUGCAUAGAGAUGACAUAGAACACCUAUUGCGAAGGCAGCUUACUACGCCUAUAUUGACGCUGAGGCACGAAAGCGUGGGGAUCAAACAGG
rnacentral:rRNA from 1 species